rnacentral:sRNA from 1 species
GUUUCCGGUUCGCCUCCGGAGCCAUGGCGGCGGCACUGAAGUGUCUACUGACAUUAGGAAGAUGGUGCCCCGGCCUUGGAGUAGCUCCCCAGGCCCGGGCGCUCGCCGCCUUAGUACCCGGAGUGACCCAGGUAGAUAACAAGUCCGGUUUCCUGCAGAAGAGGCCUCAUCGCCAGCACCCUGGCAUCCUAAAGCUGCCGCACGUGCGGCUGCCACAGGCACUGGCUAACGGUGCCCAGUUAUUGCUACUUGGUGAGUAACGGCGGGAAAGCGAGAAGAAACGGGACUGGACCUACAUGCAAGUGAUUCCGCUUUUCAUCUUUGGCCCAUAGGGAGCGCUGGGCCCACUAUGGAGAAUCAGGUGCAAACACUGACCAGUUAUCUCUGGAGCAGACAUUUGCCUGUAGAGCCAGAGGAGUUGCAAAGACGGGCUAGGCAUCUUGAGAAAAAAUUCCUGGAAAACCCAGGUCCUGACUUCCAGUCCUUGUUCUCACCACAGACUUAUCUCAGACAGAGGAGAAACUUCGUGGAGCAGUGCUACAUGCACUACGUAAAACUACCUACCAUUGGCAAGAACUGAGCUACACUGAGGGACUGAGCCUGGUGUAUAUGGCAGCAAGACUGGAUGGUGGCUUUGCAGCAGUCUCCAGAGCAUUCCAUGAGGUGAAAGUCCCUUAACUUCCAACCUGAACUUUUUGACCAUCAGUUCCCUAUUCAUAAAGUAGUUUUCUAGGAUGGGGAUUCUUGGGACAUUGCAUAUGCAUUUUUUUUUUAAAGAGGAUCUCCGCUGGACAUAGUGGGCUCCUGCCUGCAGUCCCAACUGUUUGGGAGGCUGAGGCAGGAGGAUUGCUUGAGCCAGUUUGAGGCUGCAGUGAGCUGUGAUCUCCACUGUACUCCAGCCUGGUGACAGAGUGAGACCUCAUCUCUUAAAAAAAACACAAAAUAAAGACGUUCUCUUUAUCCUGUGAAAGCUUUCUGUGACCCAAGAAAGGUUUAGAAUCACUAUUUUAGGAGAUUCUUAUCCCAUAAGGUAUUUGUAUUGAAUCUCAAAAGGCAUUCACAUCUCACAUCCUCUGUGAUAGCCUCCUGAUUCACAUUUAUCAAGGUCCUAAAUAAGUAUCUAAUUACCCUACUGUGGGAUGUUGUAUAUUUCUUCA